rnacentral:rRNA from 1 species
AGUGCAAGCGUUAAUCGGAAUUACUGGGCGUAAAGCGUGCGCAGGCGGUUUUGUAAGUCUGACGUGAAAUCCCCGGGCUCAACCUGGGAAUUGCGUUGGAGACUGCAAGGCUGGAAUCUGGCAGAGGGGGGUAGAAUUCCACGUGUAGCAGUGAAAUGCGUAGAGAUGUGGAGGAACACCGAUGGCGAAGGCAGCCCCCUGGGUCAAGAUUGACGCUCAUGCACGAAAGCGUGGGGAGCAAACAGGAUUAGAUACCCUGGUAGUCCACGCCCUAAACGAUGUCUACUAGUUGUCGGGUUUUAAUUAACUUGGUAACGCAGCUAACGCGUGAAGUAGACCGCCUGGGGAGUACGGUCGCAAGAUUAAAACUCAAAGGAAUUGACGG